rnacentral:misc_RNA from 1 species
CUUGGUCAUUUAGAGGAGGCUCCACGGAGAAUUGAUUUCUCAGGGCGUGAAACUUUCGUUGGGUCACCACUUGGAGGCAGUGUCACCGUAGACCUAACUGGC